UACGUAGGGUGCAAGCGUUAAUCGGAAUUACUGGGCGUAAAGCGCACGUAGGCGGCUUUGUAAGUUAGAGGUGAAAGCCCGGAGCUCAACUCCGGAAUUGCCUUUAAGACUGCAUCGCUAGAAUUGUGGAGAGGUAAGUGGAAUUCCGAGUGUAGAGGUGAAAUUCGUAGAUAUUCGGAAGAACACCAGUGGCGAAGGCGACUUACUGGACACAUAUUGACGCUGAGGUGCGAAAGCGUGGGGAGCAAACAGG
rnacentral:rRNA from 1 species